ACCUCAACCGUGACUCCACCUGUCUGCCCGUUCUGUAGAAGCACCAUCGCAAGGUUAGUCGUCGCCCAGAACAACAACAACAACAACGAAAAAAGCAAAACCUUAGACGACGUUGUUGUCGAUCUCGAGGCAAGUGAUGUAAGCUCCUCCAAAUUCAGAAAACACAGAAGAUCAAUAAACCUAGGCGAAGAAAGCAGCAGUUUCAUGGGACUAUCAACCAUCGGAUCGUUCGGACGAAUAACCGGCCGUGGCUCGGGUAGAAUCGCAGCCGACAACGAGCUGAUGGACAAACCAAUAUUGUGAGAAUCGAUUCCGCUCUUUGGAACAUUUUGGGGACAUUGGGGGGAGAGAGAAGGAGGUUAAAAAAAUUGUGAGAAUGUAUAAAAAUAU
rnacentral:lncRNA from 1 species